rnacentral:rRNA from 1 species
GACGAACGCUGGCGGCGCGCCUAACACAUGCAAGUCGAACGGGAAGGCCCUGCUUUUGUGGGGCGCUCGAGUGGCGAACGGGUGAGUAACACGUGAGUAACCUGCCCUUGACAUUGGGAUAACUUCAGGAAACUAGGGCUAAUACCGGAUAGGCGCACCUGCUGCAUGGUGGGGGUUGGAAAGGUUCCGCGGCGCGGGAUGGACUCGCCGCUUAUCAGCUUGUUGGUGGGGUAGUGGCUUACCAAGGCUUUGACGGGUAGCCGGCCUGAGAGGGUGACCGGCCACGCUGGAACUGGAAUGAGGCACAGACCCCUACGCGAGGGGACAGAGGAGUGUAUUGCACAGUGGGAUGAGGCCUAAUGCAGCGACGCGGCGUGCGGUAUAACAGGCAUCGCGUUGUAUUCCGCUUUCGCCUGGGACGAGAAGUGAGUGACGGUAAUGGGUAAAGAAGCACCGGCUAACUACGUG